rnacentral:rRNA from 1 species
GGGCGUAAAGCGCGCGCAGGCGGAUGAGGAAGUCAGGGGUGAAAGACCGGGGCUCAACUCCGGGGUUGCCUCUGAUACUCCUUGUCUAGGGACCGGUAGAGGCCGGUGGAAUUCCGAGUGUAGAGGUGAAAUUCGUAGAUAUUCGGAAGAACACCAGUGGCGAAGGCGACUGACUGGACAAGUAUUGACGCUGAGGUGCGAAAGCGUGGGGAGCAAACAGG